rnacentral:rRNA from 1 species
CGAAUGCUGACAUAAGUAACGAUAAAGCGGGUGAAAAGCCCGCUCGCCGGAAGACCAAGGGUUCCUGUCCAACGUUAAUCGGGGCAGGGUGAGUCGACCCCUAAGGCGAGGCCGAAAGGCGUAGUCGAUGGGAAACAGGUUAAUAUUCCUGUACUUGGUGUUACUGCGAAGGGGGGACGGAGAAGGCUAUGUUGGCCGGGCGACGGUUGUCCCGGUUUAAGCGUGUAGGCUGGUUUUCCAGGCAAAUCCGGAAAAUCAAGGCUGAGGCGUGAUGACGAGGCACUACGGUGCUGAAGCAACAAAUGCCCUGCUUCCAGGAAAAGCCUCUAAGCAUCAGGUAACAUCAAAUCGUACCCCAAACCGACACAGGUGGUCAGGUAGAGAAUACCAAGGCGCUUGAGAGAACUCGGGUGAAGGAACUAGGCAAAAUGGUGCCGUAACUUCGGGAGAAGGCACGCUGAUAUGUAGGUGAAGCGACUUGCUCGUGGAGCUGAAAUCAGUCGAAGAUACCAGCUGGCUGCAACUGUUUAUUAAAAACACAGCACUGUGCAAACACGAAAGUGGACGUAUACGGUGUGACGCCUGCCCGGUGCCGGAAGGUUAAUUGAUGGGGUUAGCGGUAACGCGAAGCUCUUGAUCGAAGCCCCGGUAAACGGCGGCCGUAACUAUAACGGUCCUAAGGUAGCGAAAUUCCUUGUCGGGUAAGUUCCGACCUGCACGAAUGGCGUAAUGAUGGCCAGGCUGUCUCCACCCGAGACUCAGUGAAAUUGAACUCGCUGUGAAGAUGCAGUGUACCCGCGGCAAGACGGAAAGACCCCGUGAACCUUUACUAUAGCUUGACACUGAACAUUGAGCCUUGAUGUGUAGGAUAGGUGGGAGGCUUUGAAGUGUGGACGCCAGUCUGCAUGGAGCCGACCUUGAAAUACCACCCUUUAAUGUUUGAUGUUCUAACGUUGACCCGUAAUCCGGGUUGCGGACAGUGUCUGGUGGGUAGUUUGACUGGGGCGGUCUCCUCCUAAAGAGUAACGGAGGAGCACGAAGGUUGGCUAAUCCUGGUCGGACAUCAGGAGGUUAGUGCAAUGGCAUAAGCCAGCUUGACUGCGAGCGUGACGGCGCGAGCAGGUGCGAAAGCAGGUCAUAGUGAUCCGGUGGUUCUGAAUGGAAGGGCCAUCGCUCAACGGAUAAAAGGUACUCCGGGGAUAACAGGCUGAUACCGCCCAAGAGUUCAUAUCGACGGCGGUGUUUGGCACCUCGAUGUCGGCUCAUCACAUCCUGGGGCUGAAGUAGGUCCCAAGGGUAUGGCUGUUCGCCAUUUAAAGUGGUACGCGAGCUGGGUUUAGAACGUCGUGAGACAGUUCGGUCCCUAUCUGCCGUGGGCGCUGGAGAACUGAGGGGGGCUGCUCCUAGUACGAGAGGACCGGAGUGGACGCAUCACUGGUGUUCGGGUUGUCAUGCCAAUGGCACUGCCCGGUAGCUAAAUGCGGAAGAGAUAAGUGCUGAAAGCAUCUAAGCACGAAACUUGCCCCGAGAUGAGUUCUCCCUGACU